UCGAGCGAACCCUUCGGGGUGAGCGGCGGACGGGUGAGUAACGCGUGGGUAACCUGCCCUGUACACACGGAUAACAUACCGAAAGGUAUGCUAAUACGGGAUAACAUAUGAGAGUCGCAUGGCUUUCAUAUCAAAGCUCCGGCGGUACAGGAUGGACCCGCGUCUGAUUAGCUAGUUGGUAAGGUAACGGCUUACCAAGGCAACGAUCAGUAGCCGACCUGAGAGGGUGAUCGGCCACAUUGGAACUGAGACACGGUCCAAACUCCUACGGGAGGCAGCAGUGGGGAAUAUUGCACAAUGGGCGAAAGCCUGAUGCAGCAACGCCGCGUGAGCGAUGAAGGCCUUCGGGUCGUAAAGCUCUGUCCUCAAGGAAGAUAAUGACGGUACUUGAGGAGGAAGCCCCGGCUAACUACGUGCCAGCAGCCGCGGUAAUACGUAGGGGGCUAGCGUUAUCCGGAAUUACUGGGCGUAAGGGUGCGUAGGCGGUCUUUCAAGCCAGAAGUGAAAGGCUACGGCUCAACCGUAGUAAGCUUUUGGAACUGUAGGACUUGAGUGCAGGAGAGGAGAGUGGAAUUCCUAGUGUAGCGGUGAAAUGCGUAGAUAUUAGGAGGAACACCAGUAGCGAAGGCGGCUCUCUGGACUGUAACUGACGCUGAGGCACGAAAGCGUGGGGAGCAAACAGGAUUAGAUACCCUGGUAGUCCACGCCGUAAACGAUGAGUACUAGGUGUCGGGGGUUACCCCCCUCGGUGCCGCAGCUAACGCAUUAAGUACU
rnacentral:rRNA from 1 species